AUGAUUCACAGUGUCUCCGCCUCUGUUGCUAGGACCGACAGGAACUUAAUUAUCUCCUUGUCAAGUCUCCGAGUCACAGAUGAGAAGGUCGACCUCGAGAAGCCAGGUGACGGGUGGAGCCUCUCAGCAGCCCAGAGAGCGCAGAGAGGAAGGCCCGGAGCUCCGGCGCCCCCUCCGGCCUGUCCACUGGCGGGGGCCCGGGGCAGCCUGCUGAAGGCUGCGGUCCCGGCUCCCACUGGCCCCGGCACCGGCUUCGAGAGCAGGGUCCGCAGAUGCGGAGGGCCUUCUGUCCACAGACUGGCGUGUGCCCGGCCCUGGAUGGGAAGAGGCUCUGCUCACCUCGGUUCAGUGGCUUCCAUACCCCACACCUGGGUGUGUUGUGGAGCAAAUCAAACCGCAAGUUUUAUUUGCUUAUGCUGAAUAUAUACUGAGUCCGCCAAAAAAGUUUAUACUCACUUCAGCAGUCCACUGUACUAUGAUACACGUGUGGAAGCUCCUGCCCACCACUUUGAGCACCUCUUGUCAUUAGAAACAUCAAAGGGAUCCAAGGUAGCUUGUGUUAAUAUUAUGAUGUCUUGAUAAAUUUAGUAUUAAAAUAUGUAUACAAGUUUUUCUUUUCCUGAUGUGUACAUAGGCAGCGACCUGCGUGGUGGAGGGUCCGAAGCGGUGGGGAUGACAAAAAGUCGAAGACCAAGAUGACUCUUAGCUGGGGUCCAGGAGUCACCACUGCUUGUAGUGAGCUGAUGGCCACCUGGAGCGCCCGGCUCUUUAUUUAUAGUGGAAACUGGAAGAGAGGGCGGGGCAAACAGUGCUACGUCGCCUACAUGGCCUAGGCUGAACGCAGCGUGAUUGUUUCAUGACUGGGCAUGCGCAGGAAAGGAACAGGGAAGGACGCAAUGUAACUGUCUCCUGGGGCUGUGCCACCCAGGGUCUGCACAGUCCUGUGACUCUAAUCUGUGGAGGAGAAAGGGAGUAGGGAGCAGGGAAGUGAAGAAGGGCCAUCUUCCGGCUCAGCCCAUGCAAUGCACUUUUUGACAAACUUUUUGUGUACAUGGUUUCCAGUACAUAAAGAUUAUACUGCUUGUGCGGAGCUGGCAGGCAGACACCACUCCUCUUAGCUCUGUUUUCUUCCCCUUCUCUCCUCCCUUCCUCUCCCUUCGUCUCUUGGUCCCCUUUCCAUUUGCAAACCAUCUAUUUCCUAUUAUUUUUCAUUUUUCUCUUUAUUUAUAUUUUGGGCUUGUCAUAUAAGAGAAACCAUGCCAUAUUUAAGCUUGUGCGUCUAAUUUGUUUCACUUAACAUUAUGACUCGUGGUGCAUCCAUUUUUCUAUAAAGGCCUCAAGUUUAUCCUUCUUUCUUUAGAGUAGGACUCCCCUGUGUAUAAUACCACAUUUUCUUUAUCCAUUCUUGUGGUGUUGGGCAUACAGGCUGCUUCCAAGAUUUAGCUAUUUGAAUUGUGCUGCUAUGAACAUGGGUGUUUAUGGAUCACUGUAAUGUGAGGUCUUUUACUCUUUGAAGGGGAAAGGCUGUGUAAAAUGGAAUUUCUAGUUUUAGUUUGCUGAGGAAUCUCCAGACUAAUUUCCAUAAGGGUUGUAAACAAGGGAAUCAAAAGUUGGACAGAGGGAGAAGGGGAGGAAAAGUGCAUAAUAAAACAGAAUCAAGCUGUAUUAUGGACACGCACCAACUCCUCAGGAAGGAAGUAAUCAUUAUGCACUGCAAAUGUGGAC
ensembl:lincRNA